rnacentral:rRNA from 1 species
GUCCACACCGUAAACGUUGGGCGCUAGGUGUGGGAUCCAUUCCACGGGUUCCGUGCCGCAGCUAACGCAUUAAGCGCCCCGCCUGGGGGAGUACGGCCGCAAGGCUAAAACUCAAAGGAAUUGACGGGGGCCCGCACAAGCGGCGGAGCAUGCGGAUUAAUUCGAUGCAACGCGAAGAACCUUACCUGGGUUUGACAUACGCCGGAAAGCAUCAGAGAUGGUGCCCCUUUUUGUCGGUGUACAGGUGGUGCAUGGCUGUCGU